UGAAUACGAGAUGCUACGGCGUCGAAGCAGUGUAUGUCAGACUUCCAAGAAAAGCUCGCAAUGUCAUAAAUAAAGAAUGCCUGUACCAUAACCGACACAGGUGGGUAGGUAGAGUAUACUAAGGGGCGCGAGAUAACUCUCUCUAAGGAACUCGGCAAAAUAACUCCGUAACUCCGGGAGAAGGAGUGCCUUCUAUUAGAAGGUUGCAAUAACAAGAUCCAAGCAACUGUUUAUCAAAAACACAGGUCUCCGCUAAGUCGUAAGACGAUGUAUGGGGGCUGACGCCUGCCCAGUGCCAGAAGGUUAAAGAAGUUGGUUAGCUUUGGCGAAGCUGAUGACUGAAGCCCUGGUGAACGGCGGCCGUAACGAUAACGGUCCUAAGGUAGCGAAAUUCCUUGUCGGGUAAGUUCCGACCCGCACGAAAGGCGUAAUGAUUUGGAUACUGUCUCGGAGAGGGACUCGGUGAAAUAGACUUGUCUGUGAAGAUGCGGACUACCUGCACCAGGACAGAAAGACCCUAUGAAGCUUUACUGUAACUUGAAAUUGAAAUUGGACUUUAUUUGCGCAGCAUAGGUGGAAGGCGUUGAGAUUACUCUUGCGGGAGUACUGGAGCCAUCAGUGAGAUACCACUCCUAUAAUGUUAGAUUUCUAACUUUGGAUCAUGAUCUGGUCAAAGAACAGUUUCAGGCGGGCAGUUUGACUGGGGCGGUCGCCUCCCAAAUGGUAACGGAGGCGUACAAAGGUUUCCUCUGAACGGGUAGAAAUCGUAUCUAGAGUGUAAAGGCAUAAGGAAGCUUGACUGUGAGACCUACAAGUCGAGCAGGGACGAAAGUCGGUCUUAGUGAUCUGACGGUGCUGAGUGGAAAGGCCGUCACUCAACGGAUAAAAGUUACUCUAGGAUAACAGGCUGAUCUCCCCCAAGAGUUCACAUCGACGGGGAGGUUUGGCACCUCGAUGUCGGCUCAUCGCAUCCUGGGGCGGUAGUACGUCCCAAGGGUUGGGCUGUUCGCCCAUGAAAGCGGUACGCGAGCUGGGUUCAGAACGUCGUGAGACAGUUCGGUCCAUAUCCGGUGUAGGCGUUAGAAUAUUGAGAGGAGCCUUCUUUAGUACGAGAGGACCGAGAAGGACAUACCUCUGGUGUACCAGUUAUCGUGCCAACGGUAAACGCUGGGUAGCUAUGUAUGGAGAGGAUAACCGCUGAAAGCAUCUAAGUGGGAAGCCCACCUCAAGAUGAGUAUUCUCAC
rnacentral:rRNA from 1 species